CAAUAAGAACUACGGUCCUGAGGACACGCCUCCCAGCCUCCCUUAGGUAUUGGGGUCCAUGCCCCUUCCGGAUGUAGGCAGGGGAUUGGUGGCGCAGGGUCGGAAAGAUCAGUAGAUACGUCAGUAACGCGUCCCAGAGGGAAGAGGGGCGGUGCCUGUCUCCGAAGCGAGGAGCGGAUUGGCUUCACGGAGGCCGCGCCCCCGAAGUCACGGCCGGCGGGCAUUUGGAAAUAGCUUGUCAUUUCCCUCCUUCAACCUGUACCAUUCUUCAAGAAACGGUUUGAAUCAGA
rnacentral:ncRNA from 2 species